UGGGUCGGGUGUAUCCUUCAAUAGGUAGCAUUUCCCAAGAUGCCUUGCGGGCCGGCCGGCAGAAAAACUUAAAAACAAUGGCGGACAGUGAAGCGGGAGCUGUCGGAGAGGAUUGCGCAUAUAAAUGUAAGUAUAAACUUGAAAACUGUCAGUUUAAGGACUUUUUGUGAUACAUGAACGUUAUUUUAGUUAGAAAUGUUACAGUAAAAGUGCUUGUAUUGCGGUCUCGGCUCGUAUGUUCGGCCGCGCUCGGUGUCGUACUUCUCCCACUACGUUUCCCCCUGAUUUUAAUAGAAGUUUGUAUUUUAGGACCAAAAGAGAAAACCAGGGAAUUUAUUAAGCUUAGGGCGGAGAUGGACCACAUGAUCACCGGAGCAAAGUAUUCGGCGGCUGUGGCAUGGAGACUAUUCUGGAGAAAAUGGGCAUCCAGGGGAAGGUGCCAGCGAUGAGCUUCUGGAGCUGAUCUGGGAGGACAUGAGGCUGCAGAGCAGCAGAGAGCACAGGAGAGAAGGAAGAACUUUGACAGCUUUUUACUUUGCUAGAAAAAAAUGGUUAAUGAAGAUUAAACAUGUACAUGUAAAAGAAAUAUCUAAAUAAAAUCAGUUCUGCAUUAAA